rnacentral:tRNA from 3 species
AAAAUCCGUCGACUUUAGAAAUCGUGAG